AAUCCCUCAAGUCCUAAUUUCCACCAAACCCAACAAAGUUCAUCCCUUUCUUAUUCACAGGCCAGCCCAACAAACCUCCAAUGACCCGACCCAUUUCUCUUCUUCAACAACAACAAGCAUACGCUUACAACACACAACAUCGUGUACAACAGCAAUUGCGAACAACAAACGGCAAAACCCAAUUCCAGUAAUACCGACGAUAACCAGCAAUAUCGACGCCAAUCAACGUUCAGACCACUGAACAUUAAGAAAUCCAGUGUUUUUUUUUCACUUCUCCUCUUGUUUCCGUCAACGUCUCCAUCAACAUCACCUCAAUUUUUUUCUCUUCCUGGCUUUUUCUGAAAACACAUACUCAAAGGACUCUUUCUCCUCACUAUAGGCUUCUGAAAAGGGAGGUAUAUGGGCAUUCAAUGGUCUUUGGAGUAUUGCCUCUUUGAUUCAACAAACAAACAGUUGUUCCCCUUGAAGAACUCAAAUCAUCAAAAUCCAAAAUCUCAAUCUUUCAAAUCAUUUCUGAAAAGAAUUCGGAGUCGAAGGUAGUGGUGGAAUUGCUCUUGGACUUGUCUUCCUGGUUCUCUACCAUAGAAAAGGCCAGUAACAUCUCUUUACUCAUCUAUUUUGUUUCGUCAAAUUUUUAUUAUUUAAGUUAUUGGUAGAGUUGUUGGAUUGCAUAUUUGGUCGAGUACUCGUGUGUUUGGUUUAUGCCUCAUUUUUUGGGGCUUUGUUUCGUUUUUGACAUGUUGUCCGUUUAGUUAAGAUCGUUAUGGGAUAGUUCAUUAUGGCUUGAAUUGUUUCGGGUCGAUUUGAUUAACUUUGCUUGAGUAAAUAUGACUAAAUUCCUACUCUCUUGUUCACUAUUUGUUAGUCAGUUAAUUUCGAUGGAUUAAAGAAUGUUCAUGUGAGAAUUAUAGGGUGAAGAGAUGUAUACUUUGCGGUGCCAUCACUUUCGUCUCUCCUUUCUUUAGGCAUUCAUGCAAAUUUUCCUUCUCCAUCUUCUGUGUGUAUUUUUGGUUGUAUUCUCUUUAAGUAUGGGAAAAAGAAGUUGCCCAGGUAAGCAUUAUGAUAUUAGAAAGCGAAACCGCAAUCCUUACUCUCCCAUCCUUUCUUUAUUUGUCAUACAUAUUUUUUAAAAUAAGUCCAUUAAAUUGGUUCGGUUCUUGAAUGGGUAGAGCUCAUAUAAAUCUUGCACCCGAAAUGCUCCCAAAACAAUUGUUAUGGUCCACGACAGGGCUUCCCAUCUCUUUUUCCUUUGAACCUGCAAAUUAGAUGAUUAAAAUACUUGUUUCUAACUCUCUGGGAAGUGUAAACAGCGAAACUAUUUCAUGUGCAAUUCUGUUUGCUUCAUUCUUUUGUCUUUUCCUUCAAAAAUUGUUUUCUCAAGGUUGAAUAAAGAAAUUUCUUUGGUACGGACAACUUUGGUUUAUUUCAGGAGGAGAGACGUUGAGCACCGCUCAAUACAACUCAAAAAUUCUCCUAAAAUGAGAAAUCUCUCAAGUCUCUGUUAUCUUUCUAAUGUUCAAAAUCUUGUCUACUCUACAACCUACGUGUGAUUAGUUUCAAGGUACUUUUUGCCUUUCAUUGUUAAGAAAUAAUAUCGAGAUGGAUGAGUUCUAAUGAAUUCCUUUGGGAAUAGAGAUAAAUCCUUUGAUUAGGUUUCUAUGUCCCGUUUCAGUUUUAAAUACCAUAAUACCCCUUCAAGUUGGUCUAUGGACUAAGUUAUGUUUAGCAGAUGAUUCACUUAAUUGUUUAAUAGAUGUUGAUAAUAUAUAGUUAAAUCAUUUAUAGUCAUUUGUUGUUUUGUGUUAACUUGACUUUUCCCUUAGUUUAAAUUGGUUUCUAAGUAUAGUUAUGGGUUAAGUUUACACUCACAGUGUUCCCAAAAUAGAAUGAUUAUGGUAUGUUAGACUUGCUUUUUCUUUUUAUGUCAUUUUGGUAGUGUUUCUCAUGGUUACGUGUCUAGUGUUCUUAUGUACUUGAUUUAGAACUAAAAUGAGGGUAAUAUAAUAGUGAAUACUCCAGUGAUUCAUUUUUUUUUUUUUUCCGAUUCUUAAUACGUGUACUUUGUUUUGUAUUUGCUUUGGUUUUAACUUGCCAUAUACACCAUUCUUAGACUCAAUGCUUGGGCGUAAACAGUAGAGACAGCCAUGAAAACAUAUUUGCAUAUGUUUGUUUUGUGUGGAAAUAUUCAAAUCGUUUGUAUGUCGUUUAUCGUGUUUAAUCGUAUUCUUUCCUCAUCGAAAUUCGUGUAUCUAAUCCUUAUCUUCUUUUAUUGCAUGAACAACCUCAUUGAGACCAUCGAACUCUCAUCUAUUGCAUUCUGUGGAUUUAAACACAACCUCCAUCGAGUCAAAGCCUCCACCGAAUUCACAAACGAGCUAGAAUACAUUGAUAUACUCUGAUAUACAGUGAAUAUACAUCGGAGGCAGCAACUGCACGCUAUUCCACGGUUUAUGAUUAAAAAAAUGGAGCCAAAACACGUGGUAUCCACUGUAUGUGUAGUGGUGUGCAUGAAAACGCAAGAAAAAAGGUUGAUAUACAACAGAUGGAAUUUGUCCAAGAACUGGACAGACCUUUAAUGGUCCAGGGGCCAUUUUAACUCUUUUCUAUUUAUUAUUAUUUGUAUUUGCUUGAACACUUUAAUUAAUUAAUCUAGAUAAAUUUCUCAA